AUUGAACGCUGGCGGCAGGCCUAACACAUGCAAGUCGAGCGGAUCACCGGUCGGGUACGUAAUGCCUAGGCAUCUGACUGUUCGUGGUGGAUACCGUUCGGAACCGGACGCUAUUGCCGCUUCCUAUCAGCUGCGCCUGGGUCGGAUUAGCUAGUUGGUGGGGUAAAGGCCUACCAAGGCGACGACCCGUACCUGGUCUGAGAGGAUGAUCAGUCACACUGGAACUGAGACACGGUCCAGACUCCUACGGGAGGCAGCAGUGGGGAAUAUUGGGCAAUGGGCGAAAGCCUGAUCCAGCCAUGCCGCGUGUGUGAAGAAGGUCUUCGGAUUGUAAAGUACUUUAAGUUGGGAGGCGUUACCAGCAGAAUAAGCACCGGCUAACUCCGUGCCAGCCGCCGCGGUAAUAC
rnacentral:rRNA from 1 species